rnacentral:rRNA from 1 species
CGAACGGGUGAGUAAUGCGUGACCAACCUGCCCCAUGCUCCAGAAUAGCUCUUGGAAACGGGUGGUAAUGCUGGAUGCUCCAACUUGACGCAUGUCUUGUUGGGAAAGUGUUUAGUGGCAUGGGAUGGGGUCGCGUCCUAUCAGCUUGUAGGCGGGGUAAUGGCCCACCUAGGCUUCGACGGGUAGCCGGCCUGAGAGGGCGGACGGCCACAUUGGGACUGAGAUACGGCCCAGACUCCUACGGGAGGCAGCACG